GCUAGACAGCAACAAGCAGAAUUGGCCCAACAGGAAUGGCUUCAAAUGCAGCAAGCUGCCCAACAAGCCCAGCUUGCUGCUGCCUCAGCCAGUGCAUCUAAUCAGGCGGGAUCUUCUCAGGAUGAAGAAGAUGAUGAUGAUAUCUGAAAUUCACCAGCUGAGUUUCUAUUUCUUCUAUAAAUGUUUUUCCCUGCACAACAAAAACAGUGAAAGAAAUGCUUAUCUGUAAUUUUGUAUGCAUCUUGGUGGACUUGUCAUUGGUAUUCUAGGGAUGUCUGCUAUUAAGUUUCAUCUAUUUUGUGCUAUACAUGUAAAAACUGUCUCUUUGAACUAUUGAAAAUUUAAGGUUCAGUAUAAUAUCAAUUUUGAAUUUUUAAUGGUGUUUAUGAAAUUUUAGAUAGCAGCGAGUCCUUCAUUUGAUCAAUAAACAGUGUUACAGAUAA
rnacentral:sRNA from 1 species